GGCGAACGCUGGCGGCGUGCUUAACACAUGCAAGUCGAACGAGAAAGCCCUUCGGGGUAAGUACAGUGGCGAACGGGUGAGUAACACGUGGGCAACCUGCCCCGGAGAGCGGGACAACCCGAGGAAACUCGGGCUAAUACCGCAUGAUGCGUCCCCACUUAAGUGGAGCCGCCAAAGGGUAGCUUCGGCCUCCGCCCUGGGGUGGGCCCGCGCCGGAUUAGCUAGUUGGUUGGGGUAAUGGCCCACCAAGGCGACGAUCCGUAGCUGGUCUGAGAGGACGAUCAGCCACACUGGGACUGAGACACGGCCCAGACUCCUACGGGAGGCAGCAGUGGGGAAUCUUGCGCAAUGGGCGAAAGCCUGACGCAGCAACGCCGCGUGAGGGAAGAAGGCCUUCGGGUUGUAAACCUCUUUCAGUAGGGACGAAGCUUCCGGGGUUAAUAGCCCACGGGGUGACGGUACCUACAGGAGAAGCCCCGGCUAACUACGUGCCAGCAGCCGCUGUAA
rnacentral:rRNA from 1 species